AUUGAACGCUGGCGGCAGGCCUAACACAUGCAAGUCGAACGAGUGGCGGACGGGUGAGUAAUGUCUGGGAAACUGCCCGAUGGAGGGGGAUAACUACUGGAAACGGUAGCUAAUACCGCAUACCAUCAGAUGUGCCCAGAUGGUAUGAGCUUGUAGGUGAGGUAACGGCUCACCUAGGCGACGAUCCCUAGCUGGUCUGAGAGGAUGACCAGCCACACUGUAACUGAUACACGGUCCAUACGCCGACGGGAGUCAGCAGAGGGGAAUAUGUCACAAUGGGCGCAAGCCUGAUGCAGCCAUGCCGCGUGUAUGAAGAAGGCCUUCGGGUUGUAAAGUACUUUCAGCGGGGAGGCGUUUUCCGUAGAAGACGCACCGGCUAACUCCGUGCCAGCAGCCACGGUAAUUC
rnacentral:rRNA from 1 species